CUAAGAAUAUUCCGCAAUGGACGAAAGUCUGACGGAGCGACGCCGCGUGGAUGAAGAAGGCCGAAAGGUUGUAAAAUCCUUUUGUCGAUGAAGAAUAAGCAUGGGAGGGAAUGCCCGUGUGAUGACGUUAGUCGGCGAAUAAGCCCCGGCUAAUUACGUGCCAGCAGCCGCGGUAACACGUAAGGGGCGAGCGUUGUUCGGAAUUAUUGGGCGUAAAGGGCGCGUAGGCGGUCCUGUAAGCCCGGCGUGAAAACCUGGAGCUCAACUCCGGGCCUGCGCUGGGAACUGCGGGACUAGAGUCAUGGAAGGGAAGUUGGAAUUCCAGGUGUAGGGGUGAAAUCUGUAGAUAUCUGGAAGAACACCGGUGGCGAAGGCGAACUUCUGGCCAAUGACUGACGCUGAGGCGCGAAAGUGCGGGGAGCAAACAGG
rnacentral:rRNA from 3 species